rnacentral:rRNA from 1 species
GCCCCCGUUGGCCGGACUCCCCGGGAACUGGGGUUAAUUUCCGAUAGGUGAAGAUUCCUGGAAUGGAACUUUGCCCAAAAGGCGUUUAGGUCAUGCUUCUAAGCGUUGCCCAAGGAUGGGGCCGCGGCCGAUCAGGUUGUUGGUGAGGUAAUGGCUUACCAAGCCUUUAACCGGUACGGGCCGUGAGAGCGGGAGCCCGGAGAUGGGCACUGAGACAAGGGCCCAGGCCCUACGGGGCGCAGCAGUCGCGAAAACUUCGCAAUACGCGAAAGCGUGACGGGGCCAUCCCGAGUGCCGUCCGCUGAGGAUGGCUUUUCUCUAGUCUAGAUAGCUGGGGGAAUAAGGAGAGGGCAAGUCUGGUGUCAGCCGCCGCGGUAAUACCAGCUCUCCGAGUGGUGGGGACGUUUACUGGGCCUAAAGCAUCCGUAGCCGGCUGGACAAGUCCCCCGUUAAAUCCAGCGAUUCAAUCGUUGGAUUGCGAGGGAUACUGUUCGGCUAGGGGGUGGGAGAGGCCAACGGUAUUCUCGGGGUAGGGGUGAAAUCCUAUAAUCCCGGGAGGACCACCAGUGGCGAAGGCUGUUGGCUAGAACAUGCUCGACGGUGAGGGAUGAAAGCUGGGGGAGCGAACCGGAUUAGAUACCCGGGUAGUCCCAGCUGUAAACGAUGCAGGCUAGGUGUUAGGGCGGUCACGUGCCGCUCUAGUGCCGCAGGGAAGCUGUUAAGCCUGCCGCCUGGGGAGUACGGCUGCAAGGCUGAAACUUAAAGGAAUUGGCGGGGGAGCAC